CCUCUCCUCGACUUGGAGGAACAUUUGUCUAUAUUAAAUGUGUAGAGGAAUGGCCUCCUACCUGGGGCUCAGCUCCUGAAAGAUGAAUUUGUGACCAUCCACAGCAGCCAGGAGAUUUGUGGGCACCUGCUCCAAAGCCUUUACUUGUCUUUGUUUAAUACUUGUCUUUUGAUACUCUCAGGAAAGGAUUUAAUGUCAGUCAUUUGAACUUAUGGGAGCUGACAUCCACAUACCUCUGAGGAAUCAUCAAAUCUUGGGACCUGACAUGCUGGCUUGCUGGCCGGGAUGGCCAGUGCCCCACAGCUGGUUUGAGACCUUACCCCAGGGAUGCACUUAGAUGCUUUCCCAUUCAUACUGAUCCAAGUAUGUUGGCCAGCAGAGACCCCAGGUCCACUGGUUAAGAGUUGUGUGGUGACAGCUCCCCAUUGGCUGUUUCUAGGCUUGUGCCAUGGUUCCUCAUCCUGAUUUGCUGUGCUGUUGAUGUUGUUGACUGUCUGUGGAGAAUAGUCUCUGAUGUGACAGUUCUGCCUUCUGAGCCUGUGAACUCUCUUGUGACCCAGGGAAGUAGCAGACAUUUUCAGCUUAGUUGUCUACAAUACUACCUGCUUAGGAAGUUGGAUACACAAAGGCAGUCUCACUUCUCAAUCCCAUUCUUUCUCUCCUUUCAUUCCUCACUUCUUUCCUCUCUUUCCUUCAAAAAUGCUAGUGCAUAAACAUGCCCACUCUCACCCCUACCACAAAAGCUUCUCCAUGGAAGAUUAUACAUCUUUCUCAAAACCACAUGCCCCAGCCUCGUCUGUCUGUCUGUCUAUCUUCUCUACGUCCAUUAUCUAUCUCUAUUAUCUCUUUUUAUAUAUACAUGUACACCAGCUUUCAACUGCCUAUGUUUAUCUGUUAGCUAUCUAAAAAAUAGCUGUAUUUUUUCCUUCCCCUAUCAGUUUCAUCUACCUAUAUCUAUUACUUAUCAAUCUAUUAAAUAUCUACUUAUGUAUCUAACCUAUCAGCUAUGUUCUAUUAAUGUAUCUCAGUCAGCUAGCAUUAACUCUGGCAGUUUUUGAAUUAGUGUGUGAUAAUGAAAAAUUACCUGUUGCUCUUAUGAUUCUUCUGAAUCUAUGCAGAGCAAUAAUACUUGAAUGACCCCAUGACUAAACAUCAUUUGCUAAGUGUUGUGGGAGUGCUAAGAGUGCCUGAGAGGCCUGCCUGAAGACUUGAAACUGGAUUGUGGCAGCCUUCUGGACACCCCUUCCCAUGGGCUAUCUCCCCAAGUGGUGAGAAAUGGGGCCAGUACCAUGUACCUGCAUAUUCUCCAGGUUACUGUGUGGGGCCUCUGCACUUACAGGAUGUUUUACUGGGAACCAGACACACUGACACCUGUGGAAGUGCCACUUGUAGUGACCAAGGGCUUAGCAGGGCAAUUUUCCAGCUCCCCAGCAUGAAUGUGCCCCAGGUGCUGAAUCACAGACUGGGGGGAUGGGUGUCCUUUCUAGGCUGCUGUCUCACUCUUGUCCAUUGUUAACAGCUGACGGUUGAACAAUGCUUGGGAGUUGACAAUGUGCAUCUGAUGACAGCUACACAUUAAGGGAAUAAAGUCUGCACAGAGCAUCUGUAUUAGUGAAGGAGAAGGGGAUUAAGAUAAAAUACAACAUCACAUUUUGUGAUUUAUACAUUAAUAGUUGCAAUGGAGAGAAUGAAAAGGAUGUGGUAAUAAUACAGAAUGUCUAUCCCGCAAUAAUCAAAGAAAAUAUUUGAAUGAGUUGUCAGAAGAUAGAGAGUUUUAAAUUACUUAAGAGAAUGGUUUCUCUGGGAAGGAAAUACAGAGACAGUUAAGUUUCCAGAAUGGAGCUCUGCAUGUGUGUGCAAAGAAACUUAUUGGGAUCAUGAUGAUGAAGUCCCGGCAUCGAGUGGGGUCUUUUGAACACUGAAACUCAUCAAUGCUGCUGUGGGGUCUUUUGAACACUGAACCUCAUCAAUGUGCUCCCAGCCUUCUAAAACAUUGAAUGUGGGAUGGCUUUGGAUGUGUUCUUAACAGAAAUGACUUCAGUAGAGGGAAUGAAACACAAACAGUACCACAGCUGUUGCCUGACUAGUCUAACAUUGAGACUAGCCUCCUGGCAUGUACUAGAAUCAUGGUUCAGGCUGGGACUUAUACCAUUGGUGUGUUUGUCUAGGUGUGGGCUGACAGUUCCUAUGCCCAGAUUCUCUCCAAGCUUGAACUGAGGCUAAUGAAGAGAAAUUACAUACAAAAGCCCUACAUACUUCUAGAAAGAGAAACAAAAGGGAGUACCUAGCUAAACUGCAAAUCAUUUCAUAGGAGAUCAACCCCAAACCAUGCAGCAAUGUAUGGUAUGCAUCACAUUUAAGAGAAGAUAGUACCAGAAACUUUGCUGACAUUUUAAGCUGUGUCUCAGUCUGUUUUGCAUUACUGAAUUUUUUUCAAAAAGAAAGAAAAUAGUUGAUACCAUAUCCACAUAAUCUUAGUACUUGGGAGGCUGAGGCAGGAGGAUGGCAAGUUGGAGAUCAGUCUAUAUUACAUAGCCUGGGCUACAAUAGCAAGAUUCUGCCUCAAAAAACAAGGCAAGAAAGGUAAAAACAAAAACAAAAGCAAAAACAAACAAACCCCCCCCAAAAAAGUUGCAUUUCUUGUAAACACUUAUAAUUCAGGUUUUUAUUAAAUUAAAUGGGUAUUACUACUGUUACUCUAAAUUAGUGGUUUAUGAUUCCCUUUAAUUGCAUACAAAAUCAGAUGACUGAAAGAAGUGGGUAUCUUGAAACAUUCUUACCAUCACCACAAUUGUUUGAUUGAAUCCUCUUAUUUGUAAGUGUGGAGAUUGAGUGUGCAAAAGUCUAAUGUGCUCCAAAUCUGUUCACUCGAGCCUAAAUAUCUCAUAAGGAUCCCCUCUGAACCAGGCACUGUGCUACACAUUUUGAGCCCGGCCCAAAACCAGGUUCUAAAGUAAUGCCCUUCUCCUAUUUUUUCCCAGCUUUCUUAUACAUUAGGCUAACCUCUCCUGCAGUUGCCACUGAAUUUUGGCAGAGUAAUAAAUGCUAUACCUACAUCAGCCUGAGAGUACACUGAAGGGGUCCCUCUGUGGAAACAUGCAGAGUAAUGAGCCCUGCUUCUGCGGGAACAGCUCAGCACACGGGUCCACAAGGUCAGUCUGGGGAACCCAGCGGGGUGCGAUUCUUGUCUGUGGGUCUGCUUCUCUGUGGCUGGGCCCUGCGACCCUGUGUAGAUUUUUGCAGGAGAGUAAAAUAACCUCCAGCCACUAAUCACACAUGGGCUGCACACUCCACCAGUACAAAACAUUAUCUUCAAAUGUAUAAAUUAAUCAAAAAGGAAAGAUAAAAAGAUAAAGAUAAAAGGAAGCAUAUUGGAAGACUCUGCCUUUGAUGCCGCUUGUGGCUCCCUGCUUUCUGAGCCUCAGUCUCGUGACUGAGCAGCCAGAGCCACUCAGGGCAAGUUGGCCAAGACCUUCCGGGCCUGCGUCCUCCACAGGGGACCUAGGGGGCUCAUUAGCAGAACAGAUUCAUUGGAAGAAUGGGAAGAAAUUGGAGAUUGCUGUAACUUUUGAGGAUUAUAUUAAAAAUAACAUAAUUAUUUCAAAGAGUAUUUCAGCUAUUGACCAAAACUAAGAAAUAAUUGUAACAGCUGUCUGUGUUAUGGAUUGGCCCUGGAUUAGGGACCACACUUGUUUGGAUACCUGUGAGACUGACAGUCUUCCCCUUUCACUAUUUCAAGAUGGCUCUGAUUUAUCCUUGAAGGUGACAUUGAGCACAGCAAAGGAGGCUUUGGAGGUCAGGGACUAUCUGAGAAGUUCAGACGAAAUUAUCCUUUGUUAAGGAAGAGAGGACUCAUGCCGGCCCACCUCCCCUUCUCUCUCCCUCUUUCCUAGUUUCUUUUAAUCAUUUGUUCUUUAGUUUCCAGAUGAGCUUUGCUGGGCACCCUUGGUGACAUCUCUACCAGACUGGAAACUACUAAUUAAUGUCACCUGCUGGGGAGUUGGACAGACAUUAGCUAGUAGUGACUUUAUCACCUGUGCAAAAAUUCAAUCGUGGUUUAAAAAGAAAUGUGUGGUUCUGGGGGUUCAGACCAAGAGUGCUCUGCAACAGAGCUGUACCCCCAGUCCUUUUUAUUUCCACAAUGGUUUCACUAAGUCACCUGGGCUGGCCUUGAAAUUGUGAUCUUCUUGCCUUGCCUCUGGAGUAACUUGAUUUUAGGCACACAUUACCAUAUUCAGUGAUAAUGUCUUUAGGCAUAAAAAGUAAGACAUUAGCAAUGAAAUAUUAGAACUAAACCAAAGUUUUGAACAAAUGAACUUAGUAGAUGUUUAGAGUGUUCCACUCCACAAUAUCAGAAUACACAUUCUUCUCAGGCGUAUGUGGGAUGUUCUCCAAAAUAGACCACAUGCUACCUCAUAAAACAUGAUUAAAUAAAUGUAAAGGAAUUGAAAUUAUCCCCUGUAUGUUAUGAGACCAUAGUGCAAUGAAAUUGGUGAUCAAUGGCAAAAGAAACCACAAGAACUUUAUAAACGUAUAGAAAUUAAAUAAUACCCUUCUGAACAACCAAUAGGUCACAGAUGAAAUUAAAGAAGAAAUUAAACAGUUUAUACAAUUUAAAAAUGAAACAUUAAAAAUGCUGAUUAGAAUAACUUCAAAAGCUCUGGGGAGAGUGGCUGGUGCCAGGCACAGCUUUAGAGAUCAAAGUCCAGGCUGACGUGCUGGGCCACAGACUGGAUGCUGGCAGGGAAUGAGCCCAGUGUGACUGCACAAAGCACUCUGAUGUCACAAAGCCCUGCUGUGGGGUGGAAGAAAGAAAUGAGGAUGCAGAGAGAAGAUCCCUUUCAUGUCUACACAGUCAUGAUGUAGUGCACAAAUACUACCAAGAGAGUCAUGUGGUAGCAGCCCAGCUCAGGAUGGAUUUGGACAUGGCUGGUGAUUUAAAGAAGCUGCUAUGUAAACCCUCAGACUUCUCAUUGAGUUCAACUCUCAUGCCCCACCAGCUAUUUUUUAAAGGGCCUCAACAGCAAGCACAAACCCUUAUAGAUGCUGGACUCUAGGUUAUGGUGCCAUGGUAGUGUGGAUUCAUCAGCUAACACAAAAACGCUGUUCUAGUGGAUGGUAUGUAUAAUAGGGAGCUACAUAUGGGGGCAGAGAGUUUGUGGAAAAUCACUGAACCUUCUGCUCAGUUUUACAGGAAACCUAAAACUGCUCUUAAAAAGACUGGGAUGCAGAAUGAAGUGCAAGCACAUGCUACAGCUGGAGUGAAGAUUGGAAACACGCUUAGUAAAAGAAACUAUACGCAAAAGUCAUGUAUUAUACAAUUCCACUUGCAUGAAGGUCGAGAACAGGCAAUGCUAUGAAGGCAGAAAGUGGAUGAGUGGCUGACUGGGGCUGGAGGAUGAGAAUGACUGCAGAUGAGCGUGAGGUUUGGUUUCUUUUGGAAUACUGAACAUGAAGUGGUGGUGACAGGUGAAUAGGCUAAAUACCAUUGACUUUAAAAGGAUAAGUUUAUGGCCAUUAAUGAUAUCACAAUAAAAAUGCUCAAAAAUUAUCUGCACAUAAAAGAGGAGAUCCUUGGAUGAAAAUUUAACUCCAAUUUAAUCCAGCAUUCAUGAGUGAGCCCACACAUCCUUUUUCCUUAGUGACUGCUAAGUAGUAUAGUAACUGCUGUGAUAAUGGAAAAUAUUCUUGUAAUCAUGUAGAUUCUGAAGUAAACUCACAAAGUCAUGCUAAUUGUUAUAGACCACUGCAGCUGCUGUAGAUAACAGGGUAUCAUCUAUUUUUCUGCUUUUAGAGAACCUUCCAGUUUCAUUGCUAUAGUGCUUGUAUAUCUUGGGUAAACAAUAGCUACAGAAUUUAAAAUAGACUAUUAUAAACAAGCACCACUCUGGAUAAAUGUCUUAGUGCUCCUUUUAUAUUUCAUAAACAUGCAUCUUCUGAAUCUUCAGAAGAGCAGAGAGAAAAUAAGGUAAGAAAGAUCUACAGCCAGAACUUCUCCUGGCACUGUGCAAAAGGCCAGACCAGCCAGGAACAGAGUUGGUAUUGUGAGUAAAAAAGAGAUUGUGUGGCUGAAAGUAAACCAAUUUGAACAUUUCAACAAGGAAUGAGCAACUUAUUAAUAUUGCCAUAAAUGUUAGAUGUAAGAGUGCUAAAUUUAAUAAAUUUAAAUGUUAAAAAUAUACAGUUUAGUACAAAAAAUCAUGUUCUGCUAAAUACUCAUAGUUUUAUAUUAAGAAAAUUUGUAAUUAUUGAGGAAGAAGUAUCACAAUUCAAUAUCAUAACCAUUUAAAACAAAAAAUUAUGAAAAAUGUUUUAGGCAUUGGGAAAGCGAUGAAAGAUAUUUAGAGAUUAUCAUAUUCUUUAACACCACCUACUCCAUGGUUGAAAGUAAUUGGACAUUUUACAAAGAAAUAUUUAUUCACCAGACUUCAAAGGCCACCUCAGAGGGACAUAGGUGCACCAUUGUGUCUCAGAUGUUGUUAAACCCUACUUGUUGAAGACAGGCACUGCUGAAGUAUGAAUACAAUUUUUGAAAAACUACAAACCAAAGUAGUUAAGUUCAACCAUUAUUAUUAAGCUUUAUCUCUGUCACAUAAGACUACUGGAAUAACAGAAGUGCAAAACUCAAGACUUUGUUGAUUUUGGAUAUAACUUCAUAUCAAUCAUUACUUUUUGUGCUUGAGAAAAUGACUUUAAUGAGAACUCUUUCUGCACGAAACACAUUAGGUACAUGGUAAACAGUAUCAGUAUAGGUCUAAGGAGAGAGCAUGUCAUUUAUAAAAAACUUCCAGAUGGUUUAACUUAGAUGGUCAAAAAUGACACAUUGAGUUCUAUUUGGAUGCUGCAAAAAUGUUUGUAAAUCAAUGAACCUUGUUUCUUUCCCCAGUAAGCCUUAUGUUUAAAUUACACAACAAGUAAUCAGUGGAGAGAAUUAACUACUAUGUUUGAAGAGCUAGAAUGAAAAUAAAUAAAACUGAAGAAUGUUUGGAUCCUGUUAUGGUUGACACAUUAUGUCAACUUGAGAAGUGUAGAGGUUUAACUAAUACAUUCAGCAGGAAGUCAAGAUCCUUAUUUUGUAAAUAUCCUUAUCCUGUGCAAGAGGAGAGCACAGAGAUUUUGUGAAUGCUACAGCUUCUCUGGGUUGGGGGGCUGUGUUUAAUAUAAAAAGGAAAAGAGACUUAUACUCCUCCCCCUAUUGCUCUGGAUGCUUUUGCUGGCUGCUGUUUUGAAAUGUUCCUUGGCUAUGCCAACCUGCCUUGGAGCCUUUGGUUAUGGACUGAAACCUCCACAAAUUGUAAGCUAAAUAAACCUUUCCUACCUUCA